GACGAACGCUGGCGGCGUGCUUAACACAUGCAAGUCGAACGGUAAGGCCCUUCGGGGUACACGAGUGGCGAACGGGUGAGUAACACGUGGGUGAUCUGCCCUGCACUUCGGGAUAAGCCUGGGAAACUGGGUCUAAUACCGGAUAGGACCACUGCCUGCAUGGGUGGUGGUGGAAAGCUUUUGCGGUGUGGGAUGGGCCCGCGGCCUAUCAGCUUGUUGGUGGGGUGAUGGCCUACCAAGGCGACGACGGGUAGCCGGCCUGAGAGGGUGACCGGCCACACUGGGACUGAGAUACGGCCCAGACUCCUACGGGAGGCAGCAGUGGGGAAUAUUGCACAAUGGGCGCAAGCCUGAUGCAGCGACGCCGCGUGAGGGAUGACGGCCUUCGGGUUGUAAACCUCUUUCAGCACCGACGAAGCGCAAGUGACGGUAGGUGCAGAAGGAGGACCAGCCAACUACGUGCCAGCCGCCGCGGUAA
rnacentral:rRNA from 1 species